rnacentral:rRNA from 1 species
CCUACGUGAGGCAGCAGUGGGGAAUAUUGCACAAUGGGGGAAACCCUGAUGCAGCGACGCCGCGUGAGUGAAGAAGUAAUUCGUUAUGUAAAGCUCUAUCAGCAGGGAAGAAAAUGACGGUACCUGAGUAAGAAGCCCCGGCUAACUACGGGCCAGCAGCCGCGGUAAUACGUAGGGGGCAAGCGUUAUCCGGAUUUACUGGGUGUAAAGGGAGCGUAGACGGCAGUGCAAGUCUGGAGUGAAAGGCGGGGGCUCAACCCCCGGACUGCUCUGGAAACUGUACGGCUGGAGUGCAGGAGAGGUAAGUGGAAUUCCUAGUGUAGCGGUGAAAUGCGUAGAUAUUAGGAGGAACACCAGUGGCGAAGGCGGCUUACUGGACUGUAACUGACGUUGAGGCUCGAAAGCGUGGGGAGCAAACAGGAUUAGAUACCCCAGUAGUC